GGGUCAGUAGGUUGGUCGUGCCACCGGUACGUACUGGUCUCACUGAUUCCUCCUUCCUGAAGAACCGUAAUGCCAUUAAUUUGGUGUUGCGGGGAAACAGGACUGCCACUUUGAAAAAAUUAGAGUGUUUAAAGCAAGCUAACGCUUGAAUACAUUAGCAUGGAAUAAUGAAAUAGGACGAUCGAUCCUAUUUUGUUGGUUUCUAGGAUUGACGUA
rnacentral:rRNA from 1 species